rnacentral:rRNA from 1 species
AUUGAACGCUGGCGGCAUGCCUUACACAUGCAAGUCGAACGGUAACAGGUCUUCGGAUGCUGACGAGUGGCGAACAGGUGAGUAAUACAUCGGAACGUGCCCGAUCGUGGGGGAUAACGAAGCGAAAGCUUUGCUAAUACCGCAUAAGAUCUACGGAUGAAAGCAGGGGACCGCAAGGCCUUGCGUGAACGGAGCGGCCGAUGGCAGAUUAGGUAGUUGGUGGGAUAAAAGCUUACCAAGCCGACGAUCUGUAGCUGGUCUGAGAGGACGACCAGCCACACUGGGACUGAGACACGGCCCAGACUCCUACGGGAGGCAGCAGUGGGGAAUUUUGGACAAUGGGCGAAAGCCUGAUCCAGCCAUGCCGCGUGCAGGAUGAAGGCCUUCGGGUUGUAAACUGCUUUUGUACGGAACGAAAAGACUCUUUCUAAUAAAGAGGGUCCAUGACGGUACCGUAAGAAUAAGCACCGGCUAACUACGUGCCAGCCGCCGCCGUAACAC